rnacentral:rRNA from 1 species
AUUGAACGCUGGCGGCAGGCUUAACACAUGCAAGUCGAGCGGGGAAGGGUAGCUUGCUACCUAACCUAGCGGCGGACGGGUGAGUAAUGCUUAGGAAUCUGCCAUUUAGUGGGGGACAACAUUCCGAAAGGAAUGCUAAUACCGCAUACGUCCUACGGGAGAAAGCAGGGGAUCUUCGGACCUUGCGCUAAAUGAUGAGCCUAAGUCGGAUUAGCUCGUUGGUGGGGUAAAGGCCUACUAAGGCGACGAUCUGUAGCGGGUCUGAGAGGAUGAUCCGCCACACUGGGACGGAGACACGGCCCAGGCCCCAACGGGAGGCAGCAGUGGGGAUUAUUGGACAAUGGGCGGAAGCCUGAUCCAGCCAUGCCGCGUGUGUGAAGAAGGCCUUAUGGUUGUAAAGCACUUUAAGCGAGGAGGAGGCUACUUAGAUUAAUACUCUAGGAUAGUGGACGUUACUCGCAGAAUAAGCACCGGCUAACUCUGUGCCAGCCGCCGCGGUAAGAC